rnacentral:misc_RNA from 1 species
UCCGGCUUGUCACCGGCAGUUUCUUCAGAGUGCCCAACUGAAUGUAGCAACUAAUGGCAAGGGUUGCGCUCGUUGCGGGACUUAACCCAACAUCUCACGACACGAGCUGACAACGGCCAUGCAGCACCUGUGUUCAGGUUCCCUUUCGGGCACACCUGCGUCUCCGCAGGCUUCCUGACAUGUCAAGGGUAGGUAAGGUUUUUCGCGUUGCAUCGAAUUAAACCACAUCAUCCACCGCUUGUGCGGGCCCCCGUCAAUUCCUUUGAGUUUUAAUCUUGCGACCGUACUCCCCAGGCGGUCUACUUCUCGCGUUAGCUGCGUUACUAAGGGAUUUAACUCCCCCAACAACUAGUAGACAUCGUUUAGGGCGUGGACUAC